rnacentral:rRNA from 1 species
UACGGAAGGCAGCAGUGGGGAAUAUUGCACAAUGGGCGAAAGCCUGAUGCAGCUAUGCCGCGUGUAUGAAGAAGGCCUUAGGGUUGUAAAGUACUUUCAUCGGGGAGGAAAAAACAAAACUAAUAAUUUUAUUUCUUGACGUUACCCGAAAAAGAAGCACCGGCUAACUCCGUGCCAGCAGCCGCGGUAAUACGGAGGGUGCUAGCGUUAAUCAGAAUUACUGGGCGUAAAGAGCACGUAGGUGGUUUUUUUAAGUCAGAUGUGAAUCCCUGGGCUUAACCUAGGAACUGCAUUUUGAAACUGAAAUACUAGAGUAUCGUAGAGGGAGGUAGAAUUCUAGGUGUAGCGGUGAAAUGCGUAGAUAUCUGGAGGAAUACCUGUGGCGAAAGCGGCCUCCUAAACGAAUACUGACACUGAGGUGCGAAAGCGUGGGGAGCAAACGAGGGAUUAGAUA